AUACGUAGGGGGCGAGCGUUGUCCGGAAUUAUUGGGCGUAAAGCGCAUGUAGGCGGUUUGGUAAGUCGGUCGUGAAAAUGCGGUGCUUAACGCCGUAUGGCGAUUGAAACUGCUGAACUUGAGUGCAGGAGAGGAAAGGGGAACUCCCAGUGUAGCGGUGAAAUGCGUAGAUAUUGGGAAGAACACCGGUGGCGAAGGCGCCUUUCUGGACUGUGUCUGACGCUCAGAUGCGAAAGCCAGGGUAGCGAACGGGAUUAGAUACCCCGGUAGUCCUGGCCGUAAACGAUGGGUACUAGGUGUGGGAGGUAUCGACUCCUUCCGUGCCGGAGUUAACGCAAUAAGUACCCCGCCUGGGGAGUACGGCCGCAAGGCUUAAACUCAAAGGAAUUGACGGGG
rnacentral:rRNA from 1 species